CCUUGACUAAGAAUACAAAAUGAACCUGUUCAUAUUAGCAAACCUAUAAAAGCUAUUCCCUGUCAAGCACAUAUCUGCUAUGCUGUAUGUGUACUGUUUCUGGAUGGUAGUUGGCAGUAUACCUAACUCUGUGUAGCACCCAUAUAUAAUCAAUACUUCUCAGGAGUAAUACAACACCAAUACCACGCUCCAAUCCAGCACAGCUCUCUCAUUAUCAGCCUUAUCACACACACACACACACACACACACACACCCCUCAGCACUGUCUACAUCUGACUUAUGAGGGCUUCUGUGACAGGACACAUGAGCUUGUCAGCAGGUCAAGGACCAGGUUCACCUUUAAUAAAUGACAAGAUCAUUGGGAAAGAAGUCCACGCUUUGAUGAGAAUAACAGGUUAGGAUAAUUCUGAUAUUUUUACUGGAAAACAAAUCAAAAAUACAAAUUAUGAACAUGAUUUUGCAGUAUAGUCAUGUUGCGCUUGAGGGAAUUUCUAUCCUCACCAUAUAUUAGGUGCUUCAUAAACGGGGAAGUCUCUCUAUUUAUCAAAUGCCAUGGUCGCACAGGUGUGUUUUACUGUUUGCUGUUAUCAUCAUCUGUUGCUGGAUUUGGUGUCUCAUGUACUCUGCCUCCAUGACACCCAGGCAACUUUCUGCAUUAUAAAUGCCUUUGCCUGCAUGACUGCAUUUCGCUGUAUAAGAAAGGCUUUACUUAUUGUUUCGGUUACAAGACAAUCAAGUAUACAAAUAGAUCCUGAAAUUCAAGAUUCACCUGAAAGUUCAGCUCUCCUUUUCACUAAAUUUGUGAAACAUAAUGCAUUCAGACAAAGAUUAAGACAUAAUAAUAUGACAUUUCAUUAUUUAUUUCUGAAGUUUUCCAAUCCAUCUUAUUUAUAGAUUUUAUGAUGUUACCCCAGUCCUAAAGCUUUCAGUCUUAACUAUGAAAAUACAUGAUGAAAAUAUAAAUCAUUACAUAAUUAAAACGUGAUCAUCUAAAUUUAAAAAAUCAUAAAACAUUUUUAUUUUCCAUUUUUUUUAUCUAUUCUGUGAACAUUUUCUGUGAUUUUGUAACAAAAAGAAGACAAAUGGCUUCAGUUUUAUACACUGUUGGAUGCUGUUUGUGAGACAAAUGAAAUAAACUAGUUAUGAGAUUAUUUUCUAAAAUUUCACAGGCCAGAAGUGUUGAGAAACUCUCAUAUAGAUUAUAAAAUUGGCAUGACACGUGUGACUAAAACUGUUUUAUGGCAUAUAAGUUAAGUAGGAGACCCAGCAAACAUUGUGUCUGAAUCCUGGAGGUGAACUAGAGCAGUGAGAAAGAGACACACAGAACAAGAGCUCACUGCUUUAGCUCACAUAGCCUACUACAAAGAUUAACACCAUGUUUUUAUUUAAACUCAUAAGCUACAUUUGAUGCAUAACGGACACCGCGUUCUCUGCUGAACCCUCUCUGUUCCUUGAAAUCUCCAUGACGUGGCUGAAAGUGGCGUCAGAGAGAUGCCGGCAAUGAGGAGUGUAUGAUACAUGAUAAUUAGUUUGCAUCGCGUCCUUGUUACAUGCAUCUAGUGAAGAGAUUUGGCUCGUGGCUGAGUCAUACAGAAGAUGUGCGUGUGCACAAAAUAACCCCUCCACAGUGGAAUUAAAGAGAAAAGAGGUAUUUCUGAAAGGGUUAGUUCACCCCGAAAUUACAAUUCUGUCAUUAAAUACUCAACCUCAUGUCAUUCUAGACCCGUAAUACCUUUGUUUAUCUUCAGAACACAAAUUAAGAUAUUUCUAAUGAAAUCCGAGAGCUUUCUGACCCUGCAUAGACAGCAGAGGUCUCAUAGCUAUUCAAAGUGCUAAAGGAAAUAAAAAAAUAGGCAAAUAAUAUUUUUUUUUAUAUUUGAUACAAUCACAUCAGUGUGAUUAGAUCAUUCAGUGCGGCACAACAUUAGCUGAUACAUUCAAUUAUAAAUUAUUACGUUUGGAAAUAUUUCGAAUAAAAUUUUUUUUUAAAAAAUAAGACAUCCUAUAAACAACUUAUAUCAGUUAUACAAUGUUAUCAUGGCUGCUGUGUGUCACAUGACAAGCAUAAAAUUAGUGCAUGAUUUAUUAGAUUGACAGCAAUGCAACUACCAUGUUCAAGACCCAGAAAGGUAGUUAAGGACAUUGUUAAAAUAGGGUCUAUGCAGGGUCAGAAAGCUCUCGUAUUUCAUCAAAAAAAAAUAUCUUAAUUUGUGUUCUGGUGAAAAAACAGUAACAUCCUCGUCCUUUUUAUGAGCCAUCUUUUGAAGCUUUCUCGCUUCUCAAGAUGGCCACCGUCAAUCACAUAAGCACAGCUCUGUACUUGUGCUCUACUCUCUGGUCAAACGCACUUAAACCACUAGCCUAAUGUUUCUAUUAACUAUGCACAUCAUAACGUUUUAUUAUUAUAUGUUAUGAUAAAAUAUUUAAUUAAGACUGUUU
ensembl:lncRNA